rnacentral:piRNA from 1 species
UCCUGUCUGUGGUGCAGCACCGGG